UUGCUGGAGAUUCAAGAACAAUUGAGAGAUUGCUAUCAUGGUCAGGAGAGGAGAUUUCAGAAGCUAUGCUCAGUUCUUUCAAACCUCAUGGAUGUACAAUGCGAUCAACCGCACCACUGUCACAUUGGUGCCUAAGGGAGUAGAGCUUCGUAAUAUCCUAUGUGCUUUGACCUCUAUCCAUUUGAUUAAGGUGUUUUUUUUAGGGAGACAAGAAAACACGAGUUUGAGAAAUAAAAUACAUCCACGAGGGAAUCAACAACAAUUCAGAUUGUGUUACUGCUCUUGUUUUGCCAGGAUGUAGGUUAAUGGUUAAAAUAUAAAGCUUGGAAGCUAUCGUCAAAAUUUCAAAGAAAAUGGUGUUAUUGGAGAGAAUUUGGAGGGGAUGUCCUGUUUCUUUUAAUUUGUUAUCUAUUGUCAAUGUUUCAUUAUUUCAUUUGAGUUUUAGUUUGCUCAAAAUAGGAUGAUUAAUCUAGAAACUAUUUAUGCUCAUUUUUAAGUGUGUUCAAUGUUACAUGUAUCACUUUCUCUUAAGUGAUUUUAUUUC